rnacentral:rRNA from 1 species
AACGAACGCUGGCGGCGUGCCUAACACAUGCAAGUCGUGCGAGAAAGUUCCUUCGGGAGCGAGUAAAGCGGCGCACGGGUGAGUAACACGUAGGUAACCUGCCCCCCAGUCUGGAACAACUAGAGGAAACUCUAGCUAAUGCCGGAUGAGACCACGAUCCCUUCGGGGGUUGCGGCCAAAGAUGGCCUCUACUUGUAAGCUAUCGCUGAGGGAUGGGCCUGCGGGCCAUUAGCUUGUUGGUGAGGUAACGGCUCACCAAGGCUGUGAUGGCUAGCUGGUCUGAGAGGAUGACCAGCCACACUGGGACUGAGACACGGCCCAGACUCCUACGGGAGGCAGCAGUGGGGAAUAUUGGACAAUGGGCGCAAGCCUGAUCCAGCCAUGCCGCGUGAGUGAUGAAGGCCCUAGGGUUGUAAAGCUCUUUUGUGCGGGAAGAUAAUGACGGUACCGCAAGAAUAAGCCCCGGCUAACUUCGUGGCCAGCAGCCGCGGUAAU